GACGAACGCUGGCGGCGUGCCUAAUACAUGCAAGUUGAGCGCUGAAGGUUGGUACUUGUCCCAACUGGAUGAGCAGCGAACGGGCGAGUAACGCGUGGGGAAUCUGCCUUUGAGCGGGGGACAACAUUUGGAAACGAAUGCUAAUACCGCAUAAAAACUUUAAACACAAGUUUUAAGUUUGAAAGAUGCAAUUGCAUCACUCAAAGAUGAUCCCGCGUUGUAUUAGCUAGUUGGUGAGGUAAAGGCUCACCAAGGCGAUGAUACAUAGCCGACCUGAGAGGGUGAUCGGCCACAUUGGGACUGAGACACGGCCCAAACUCCUACGGGAGGCAGCAGUAGGGAAGCUUCGGCAAGGGACGAAAGUCUGACCGAGCAACGCCGCGUGAGUGAAGAAGGGUUUCGGAUCGUAAAACUCUGUUGGUAGAGAAGAACGUUGGUGAGAGUGGAAAGCUCAUCAAGUGACGGUAACUACCCAGAAAGGGACGGCUAACUACGUG
rnacentral:rRNA from 1 species